AACGAACGCUGGCGGCGCGCUUAAUACAUGCAAGUCGAACGAGAAGGUGUAGCAAUACACUUGUAAAGUGGCGAACGGGUGAGGAAUACAUGGGUAACCUACCCUCGAGUGGGGAACAACCAGCCGAAAGGUUGGCUAAUACCGCGUACGCUUCCGGGUCUUCGGAUUCGGAAGGAAAGUCAUACCGUGGGUAUGACGCUCAAGGAUGGGCUCAUGUCCUAUCAGCUUGUUGGUAGGGUAACGGCCUACCAAGGCUCCGACGGGUAGCUGGUCUGAGAGGACGAUCAGCCACACUGGCACUGCGACACGGGCCAGACUCCUACGGGAGGCAGCAGUAAGGAAUAUUGCGCAAUGGGCGAAAGCCUGACGCAGCGACGCCGCGUGGGGGAUGAAGGUCUUCGGAUUGUAAACCCCUUUCAGGAGGGAAAAUGGAACGAGCAAUCGUUCGGAUGGUACCUCCAGAAGCAGCCACGGCUAACUUCGUGCCAGCCGCCG
rnacentral:rRNA from 1 species